AAUAUCAUUGGAAUGAGCCCCCUUGGCAGAUGUACAGGUCCUGAUGACAGGUAUUUUCCAGGUCCAGGGUCCCACAAUCACAGCUCUAAAAGAUUCUCUGUGUGAAGUGUUUGAAGAAGUGGUGGACGUGACACUGAUCUUGGAGCUGCAUUCCCUGACUCUGUUAAGUGCCUGGUGAGUUGCCAUGACAACCAAGGAACCUUAACAGACAGUCUUUGGUGCUUGUGUUUCUCCUGAAGGCUAUACUAAGUUGUGGAUGUGUCUAUUUGCUCAUGCCCAUAGAGGGUAUUUUGCCUCUUGUGGAGACCUGUCAUAAAAUGGGGCGAAGAGCAAAUUCCUUCUGGUGGAAAAGGUGUUAACACUUUAUAUUUAUUCAUAAAUAGCAAAAAGCAAAUAAAUGGUAAAAGGGGCCCACACUUGUUCACACACACACACACACACACACACACACACACACACACACACACACUCCUCGCUAUCCUUUCCAGUCUGGCAGGUGUAGUCUGGCUCUGGGCAGUGCCGGUAACCGCCAAUCCUCUGGAGCUGAGCAGCCGCAGUGCAGGCUUUGCCGUCUGAGCAGUGGAUGACCGCGUGAGCGGCUGCGUGGAGGACAUGGAGAUUAUUUCUCCGCACGAUGUUGUCUCUGCUGGGCCCUGGGGAGUGCAUUGUGUACACUACAAAGCCACAUUGCCUUUCGGCAGAAUGAGCACCAAAAAUUCAAGUCAUUACCAAGAUACUUUCCAGGACAAAGUAGUUCGUGUUCUUCAGUGCUGGAAGUAGCAGAAACCAAAGGGCUCACAGUUGUAUGAAAUAGUCCAUUGGAUAGUCGAUGUUUUGCAUAUGCCUAUGGUUUAACAUGCAAGAGUAUCUGGAAGUUCAAGCAAGAACUGUGCAGUGAGUGAUUUUUGAGGACUACAAGAAGAAUGAAUCAAAGACAUUAUCAACUAGCCAUCAUUCCUUAUACUGGCUUCAUCUUAACCAAAUCUGGAAACACACCCCAGACUGACAUUGUUUAGAGAGUGAACUCAGUGUAAAUCCCACGAUCCUCUCUGAGUGUUACAAUCACCAAAGCUAAAGACCCACUGGGUCGACGUUUUUCUCUAUUCUUCUCUCUGGGAUAAUAAAAGAAUUACUUCUUGUUGAAUAAAAG
rnacentral:lncRNA from 1 species